rnacentral:rRNA from 1 species
AAUAUUGGACAAUGGGGGCAACCCUGAUCCAGCCAUGCCGCGUGCGUGAAGAAGGUCUUCGGAUUGUAAAGCCCUUUAAGUUGGGAGGAAGGGCUUUAGGCUCAUACCCUGAAGUUUUGACGUUACCAACAGAAUAAGCACCGCCUAACUCGGCUCCAGCAGCCGCGGUAAUACAGAGGGUGCAAGCGUUAAUCGGAAUUACUGGGCGUAAAGCGGGCGUAGGUGGUUCAGGAAGAUGGGUGUGAAAUCCCCGGGCUUAACCUGGGAACUGCUUUCAUAACUGCUGAGCUAGAGUACGGUAGAGGGUAGUGGAAUUUCCUGUGGAGCGGUGAAAUGCGUAGAUAUAGGAAGGAACACCAGUGGCGAAGGCGACUACCUGGACUGAUACUGACACUGAGGUGCGAAAGCGUGGGGAGCAAACAG